rnacentral:rRNA from 1 species
UACGGAGGAUGCAAGCGUUAUCCGGAAUUAUUGGGCGUAAAGCGUCCGCAGGUGGUUAUGCAAGUCUGCUGUCAAAGCGCAGGGCUUAACUCUGUAAAGGCGGUGGAAACUGUGUGACUAGAGUACGGUAGGGGUAGCGGGAAUUCCCAGUGUAGCGGUGAAAUGCGUAGAUAUUGGGAAGAACACCAGCGGCGAAAGCGCGCUACUGGGCCUGUACUGACACUCAUGGACGAAAGCUAGGGGAGCGAAUGGG